rnacentral:tRNA from 1 species
GUCUCUGUGGCGCAAUGGGUUAGUGGGUUCGGCUGUUAAUCGAAAGGUUGAUGGUUCGAAUCCAUCCAGCGACG